rnacentral:rRNA from 1 species
GAGUUUGAUCAUGGCUCAGGAUGAACGCUGGCGGCGUGCCUAAUACAUGCAAGUCGAACGAACAGAUAAGGAGCUUGCUCCUUUGACGUUAGCGGCGGACGGGUGAGUAACACGUGGGUAACCUACCUAUAAGACUGGAAUAACUCCGGGAAACCGGGGCUGAUGCCGGAUAACAUGUUGAACCGCAUGGUUCUACAGUGAAAGACGGUCUUGCUGUCACUUAUAGAUGGACCCGCGCCGUAUUAGCUAGUUGGUGGGUAACGGCCUACCAAGGCGACGAUACGUAGCCGACCUGAGAGGGUGAUCGGCCACACUGGAACUGAGACACGGUCCAGACUCCUACGGGAGGCAGCAGGUAGGGAAUCUUCCGCAAGUGGGCGAAAGCCUGACGGAGCAACGCCGCGUGAGUGAUGAAGGUCUUGGAUCGUAAAGCUCUGUUGUUA